GACGAACGCUGGCGGCGUGCUUAACACAUGCCAGUCGAACGGAAAGGCCCUGCUUUUGUGGGGUGCUCGAGUGGCGAACGGGUGAGUAACACGUGAGUAACCUGCCCUUGACUUUGGGAUAACUUCAGGAAACUGGGGCUAAUACCGGAUAGGAGCUCCCGCUGCAUGGUGGGGGUUGGAAAGUUUCGGCGGUUGGGGAUGGACUCGCGGCUUAUCAGCUUGUUGGUGGGGUAGUGGCUUACCAAGGCUUUGACGGGUAGCCGGCCUGAGAGGGUGACCGGCCACAUUGGGACUGAGAUACGGCCCAGACUCCUACGGGAGGCAGCAGUGGGGAGUAUUGCACAAUGGGCGGAAGCCUGAUGCAGCAACGCCGCGUGCGGGAUGACGGCCUUCGGGUUGUAAACCGCUUUCGCCUGUGACGAAGCGUGAGUGACGGUAAUGAGUAAAGAAGCACCGGCUAACUACGUG
rnacentral:rRNA from 1 species